rnacentral:tRNA from 1 species
GCCGGAGUGGUGGAAUUUGGUAGACACGCAGUGUUGAGGGCGCUGUGUCCGAAAGGGCGUGCCGGUUCGAGUCCGGCCUUCGGCA